UCCUUCCGGUCCGAGGGACCGGCGAAGGCUGCGGGUCGUGCCUCAGCUGCUGCGCAUGCGUGUGUGGUGUUGGGUGAUGUCGGCGUUCUUCCUCUCCUUGUGUUUUCCAGCUCCUUGAUGCUCAAACUGUGCUGCAGGCACUUGUGGCAUCAGCAUCACCUGGGAACUAUUGGAAGUGUGGAGUUCCUGGUCCCAUUCCAGACCUGUUGAGCUAGAAUCUGCAUUCUCAGAUAAUUCCUAUUAUUGGAGUAAUGCUCUCAUGGAGAAAGGAAACUGGUUCCAAUUUAGUGUCAGUUCCAGGAUAAUCAUCCAGGGUAAUCACUUUCUCUGCCUGGCUGAGGAUGAUCCAUCUUGUGAAAGGUCAAAGAGUAAAUAUCUAUGUAGAAAGAUCUGAAGAACAUGUUGACAAGCUGGCUUGAAUCAUUUAAAUUAUUCGCACUUCUCUAUGGCUGGCAGAAGAACUUCUGCAGGAAAGAACAUAGCCGAAUGGCCCUAACAGUGAAGUAGAGUGACUCAGGAUUCCACAGAAGCUGAAGGAGAGUACACGGGACGAACACAUUUUCUGGAGGGAGCGGUAUUGGAAUCCCAAGGCGCUGGGCACGGCUCCCGAGGAAGAGACAGAACGUGAGCAGGGGAGGGUCAGAGAGAGAGGAAGACAC